UCGGACGUGGUGUACGGUGCACACCCGCCUUUCUUCAUCGAUGAGUGCUGAUCAAUUAGGCGGGAGCACCGGGUUCGAUUCCUGGUGUCCGAA